UACAGCCAUAUCAUGUUGAAAUACCGGUUCUUGUACGAUCAACGAAGUUAAGCAUGGUUGAGCCUGGUCAGUACCUUGGUGGGUGACUGCUUGAGAAUACCAGGUGCUGUAAG